rnacentral:rRNA from 1 species
UGAACGCUGGCGGUGUGCUUAACACAUGCAAGUCGAACGAGAACGGUACUAGCUUGCUAGUAUGUCAGCUAAGUGGCGGACGGGUGAGUAAUGUAUAGUUAAUCUGCCCUUUAGAGGGGGAUAACAGUUGGAAACGACUGCUAAUACCCCAUACUCCUUUUAUCUUAAUGAUAAUUGGGAAAUGUUUUUUCGCUAAAGGAUGAGACUAUAUGGUAUCAGGUAGUUGGUGGGGUAAGAGCCUACCAAGCCAAUGACGCCUAGCUGGUCUGAGAGGAUGAUCAGCCACACUGGAACUGAGACACGGUCCAGACUCCUACGGGAGGCAGCAGUGGGGAAUAUUGCACAAUGGAGGAAACUCUGAUGCAGAAACACCGCGUGGAGGAUGACACAUUUCGGUGCGUAAACUCCUUUUAUAUGGGAAGAUAAUGACGGUACCAUAUGAAUAAGCACCGGCUAACUCC